CCUACGGGGCGCAGCAGUGGGGAAUAUUGGACAAUGGGCGAAAGCCUGAUCCAGCCAUGCCGCGUGUGUGAAGAAGGCCUUCGGGUUGUAAAGCACUUUCAGUGGGGAAGAAAGCCUUGGGGCUAAUACCCUCGAGGAAGGACAUCACCCACAGAAGAAGCACCGGCUAACUCCGUGCCAGCAGCCGCGGUAAUACGGAGGGUGCGAGCGUUAAUCGGAAUUACUGGGCGUAAAGCGCGCGUAGGCGGUCUGAUAAGCCGGUUGUGAAAGCCCCGGGCUCAACCUGGGAACGGCAUCCGGAACUGUCAGGCUAGAGUGCAGGAGAGGAAGGUAGAAUUCCCGGUGUAGCGGUGAAAUGCGUAGAGAUCGGGAGGAAUACCAGUGGCGAUGGCGGCCUUCUGGACUGACACUGACGCUGAGGUGCGAAAGCGUGGGUAGCAAACAGGAUUAGAUACCCGGUAGUC
rnacentral:rRNA from 1 species